UUCUACAAGGGAAAACAACUUUCAUUACCACUCGUUACCACUCAUUAGUCAUUACCACUUACAAGGUGGGUUCGAUAAGAAUGAAAAUUUAAGAAGAAAAUAAACACUACAGAAUAAAUUAGUAUUACUAUGGAAAUGAACAAUAAUUUUUGUCCUAAAUUUACAUAUAAAUUCAUUCUGGAUGGUAGUGUAAUUCACAACUUAUAGUCACAAAUGAUAAAUAAUAGUUUAUGUGGUUAAUAUAAAUGCUGCAGAUUGGGUGUUGUAACCUGUAACCUGCUGCAGUCUAUUAAUGUCUUUUUUGUUUGAAAUCAGAUACAAAUUUUGAGUGUCUAUAUCAGAUUUUAAUAGCCUAUAUCAGAUUUUAAGGUUUGCAGCUAGUGGUGUAUCCAGGAAUUUAGUGAUGGGGAAUCCUAUAGUCAAUGUGUAUUUCCUAAUAAGUUAGUUAUAUGAGCAUAAUACACAUUUUAAAUGACAAUGUCAUUCUUUCUUCCGAUUUUGUGACUAAGAAACUUAGAAAUUUUAACAACAGCUUGUUAAGUGCUAUGAUAAUUUUAAAAUUUAUAAACUCAGAAUUUAGUGAUGGGGACUUUGAAGCCUUUGUUGAAAUAGAUGCUUUCAUUGAGGAUAUAAACAACAGCUUGUUAAGUGCUAAGAUAAUUUUAAAAUUUAUAAUAUAGUAAAUGAAGCCUUCUGCAAUUGAAAUAACAAGUCUUAGUCACCUAAUUACACAAUCUGCAUCUAUUGAGUUUCGUUUAGGUUCUGAAUAAGAUAUUAGUAUGUUGUAUAAUAGUUUGGCGCUCCUUUUUUAGGAGGGUUUCUUAAGUGGUAACUUUUCUAUGGGCUAAAGUUUAAUGUUGGCCAAUAAAUUUGUGUGAUUGCCACUUCAAAUAUAAGAAGGCAGUUGGAAAACAUAUUGUAUGUCCAGGAAAUAAUCCUUUAAAGCAUUGCAAUGCAUGCUCAAUACGAGCUAUCGAUUUCAUAAGAGGGACAAGAUAGCAUAAUUCCCAAGCCUCAGACCAGAAUGUUACCGACCUUAGAUAUGUAUAGAAUAAGUUUGAACCUUGAAUUUCUGUAAGCAUCGUCUCUGUCAACGAAAUUCUGCAGCAGAGGUGCAUCUUCCAGAUUACUCGUCAUAUAGUUUAUGUCAAUGCUGGGAUUCAUAUUCUUAGUGCACAGGUUUGGAAAACAACUUUGAAUUGUUUAGGUUAACCACUUUUAUGGGGAGGUGUUGUCGAAAUUUCUGCAAAAUAUGCACUUUUACGAGGAUAUGCUACCCAAACUUUUGCAAAAAUACUCAUGCAUGCAAAUUUGUCAUAUGAUUCAUAAAUGUUCUAUGCUAAUCGUUACUUUUAUGCUUGUUGGAUGUAGGCUGUUAAUAAAGCUUCAUCUUCUGGAAAUGACAACUCUCAUUAAUUAUUUAAUUCGCUAGUUGGAUUUUUGUCGAAAGAUUAAUUUUGGAUGCACCAAAACGAAAAAGUGAAUGUUGAAGAUUUGAGGACAUUGGAACUUCUGUUUGGGCACAAGAAUGAAGAUAUAUUAAAUUUUGUUAUUAUUUAGUUGGAUUAUAAAUUUUAACAUUUGUUGUUCUACAUACAUUAGGUUGUACCUUGAGUUUGUCAAAAUGAUUUAGACUUUUUUGUUAUUUUUAGUUUGAAGAUUUUAUAUAGAGUACUAUUAAACGAUUAAAUUUUUCAUUAAUCAAUAUAUUAUAUUUUGGUUCA